GUUGUGAGAAUUAAAUGAACUGUAGCAGCCUGAGGCAGGGCUGGGCAGAAACCUCAGCACAUGUUUGUUGAAAGGUUUGCAGGUGGAUCAAGUCACCCAACUCACAGUCUCAUGUGUCUCGUCUAUUCUCCUGCAGACUCCUGUAGCCCCUAUGCCCAGGGCUCUUCUUGCUCCAGCUAGGGGCUCCUAAAGACAACAGGCCGUCCAGGAGACUUUGACCCGGCUUCUCGAGGCCUGUCUACACUCGCUGCUUUCCUUCCUCACCUCCAAUUUCCCCUCCAACCCACUGCUUCCUGACUCGCUCUUCUCCAUCGAACGGCUCUUGCUCAGCUGGCAUUGCCCACCGGCCGUGCUGGCUGAAGAAGAGAGGACAUGAGGACCCCAGGAUGCCCAGCGUGAGGACCCCAGGACACCCAGCGCGAGGACCCCAGGACGCCCAGCUCGAGGACCCCAGGACGCCCAGCGCGAGGACCCCAGGACGCCCAGC
rnacentral:lncRNA from 1 species